rnacentral:rRNA from 1 species
ACUCCUACGGGAGGCAGCAGUGGGGAAUAUUGGACAAUGGGCGGAAGCCUGAUCCAGCAACGCCGCGUGAGGGAUGACGGCCUUCGGGUUGUAAACCUCUUUCAGUACCGACGAAGCGCCCGUUGUGGGUGGUGACGGUAGGUACAGAAGAAGCACCGGCCAACUACGUGCCAGCAGCCGCGGUAAUACGUAGGGUGCGAGCGUUGUCCGGAAUUAUUGGGCGUAAAGGGCUCGUAGGCGGUUUGUCGCGUCGGGAGUGAAAACACCGGGCUUAACUCGGUGCCUGCUUUCGAUACGGGCAGACUAGAGGUAUGCAGGGGAGAACGGAAUUCCUGGUGUAGCGGUGAAAUGCGCAGAUAUCAGGAGGAACACCGGUGGCGAAGGCGGUUCUCUGGGCAUUACCUGACGCUGAGGAGCGAAAGUGUGGGGAGCGAACAGGAUUAGAUACCCUGGUAGUCCACACCGUAAACGUUGGGCGCUAGGUGUGGGGCCUAUUCCAUGGGUUCCGUGCCGCAGCUAACGCAUUAAGCGCCCCGCCUGGGGAGUACGGCCGCAAGGCUAAAACUCAAAGGAAUUGACGGGGGCCCGCACAAGCGGCGGAGCAUGCGGAUUAAUUUGAUGCAACGCGAAGAACCUUACCUGGGUUUGACAUAUGCCGGAAAGCCAUAGAGAUAUGGCCCCUUUUAGUCGGUAUACAGGUGGUGCAUGGCUGUCGUCAGCUCGUGUCGUGAGAUGUUGGGUUAAGUCCCGCAACGAGCGCAACCCUCGUUCUAUGUUGCCAGCAUGCCCUUCGGGGUGAUGGGGACUCAUAGGAGACUGCCGGGGUCAACUCGGAGGAAGGUGGGGAUGACGUCAAGUCAUCAUGCCCCUUAUGUCCAGGGCUUCACGCAUGCUACAAUGGCCGGUACAAAGGGCUGCGAUGCUGUAAGGCGGAGCGAAUCCCAAAAAGCCGGUCUCAGUUCGGAUUGGGGUCUGCAACUCGACCCCAUGAAGUCGGAGUCGCUAGUAAUCGCAGAUCAGCAACGCUGCGGUGAAUACGUUCCCGGGCCUUGUAC